rnacentral:rRNA from 1 species
AGGACGAACGCUGGCGGCGUGCCUAAUACAUGCAAGUCGAGCGAAUCAAAGGGAGCUUGCUCCCUGAGGUUAGCGGCGGACGGGUGAGUAACACGUGGGCAACCUGCCUAUAAGACUGGGAUAACUUCGGGAAACCGGAGCUAAUACCGGAUAAUUCUUUUCUACACAUGUAGGGAAGCUGAAAGACGGUUUACACUGUCACUUAUAGAUGGGCCCGCGGCGCAUUAGCUAGUUGGUGAGGUAACGGCUCACCAAGGCAACGAUGCGUAGCCGACCUGAGAGGGUGAUCGGCCACACUGGGACUGAGACACGGCCCAGACUCCUACGGGAGGCAGCAGUAGGGAAUCUUCCGCAAUGGACGAAAGUCUGACGGAGCAACGCCGCGUGAAGUGAUGAAGGUUUUCGGAUCGUAAAACUCUGUUGUUAGGGAAGAACAAGUACGAGAGUAACUGCUCGUACCUUGACGGUACCUAACCAGAAAGCCACGGCUAACUACGUGCCAGCAGCGGC